rnacentral:rRNA from 2 species
UGAGGAAUAUUGGUCAAUGGGCGCGAGCCUGAACCAGCCAAGUCGCGUGAAGGAAGACUGUCCUAUGGAUUGUAAACUUCUUUUGUACAGGAAUAAAGUGUUCUACGUGUAGGAUUUUGCAUGUACUGUACGAAUAAGGAUCGGCUAACUCCGUGCCAGCAGCCGCGGUAAUACGGAGGAUCCGAGCGUUAUCCGGAUUUAUUGGGUUUAAAGGGUGCGUAGGUGGACUGAUAAGUCAGUGGUGAAAGUUUGCAGCUUAACUGUAAAAUUGCCGUUGAAACUGUUGGUCUUGAGUGCAAAUGAGGUAGGCGGAAUGUGUUGUGUAGCGGUGAAAUGCUUAGAUAUAACACAGAACACCGAUUGCGAAGGCAGCUUACUGGGAUGCAACUGACACUGAUGCACGAAGGCGUGGGGAUCAAACAGG